UAUCACUGUAGAAAGCAGAUAAUGACACGCAACAUUUUGGGGCUGAUGCUGAUAAGAAUUGAGAGUAUAUACAAGUUCUUGACACAUGGAAUGUGAAGAUAUAGAAACAGAAUUAAAACUAAAAAUAAAAUAAAAAGUGAUUUUGAAUAUAGCAGAUCAGUUUGGCUCCCUACUAAACAAGGCACCAGGGCACUCUAGAUCCUGCCUAGCCCCAAACAGAAGAACUGGAUGCAUCAUCAUACUCAGGCCCAUGUGGGCAACAAAUUUAGAACUCAGCCCCAUUCUCAUUUAAUCCCCACAUCCAUACAAUUUCCAAAAGUAAAUUAGAGUUGGAUAUUUUUUGUGUCCACAUUAUGACCCUGCCAAAAUCUAUCUUGCAAAAAAAAUUGAAACUAACAGUACAAAAAGGCCUUAAAUAUCAACUAUGUACUUGGUUGGGAUCACAUUCCCACACAAAAGCAUUUAUUUACGUAAACUAAGACAAGCCCUUUCUCACAUACUGACUUCAUAUUCCGUAAAGCACAGUUAAAAAACUACUUUUGAAAGAUCCUAACGUCAUGUCAAACAAGCAUUAUAUAAUCCAAGGAGAUUUAUAUUUAAAAAAUUGUCUUUAUACCAUCCAGUUGACUUGGGCUCAUUUAUUAAUCCUUUCACCCAGACCCAAGCAGAUAAAUUGUGCAAGUAACCAUUGAUAACAGUAUCAUGCCAUCCACUUGUAAAGGUAUCAAUUCUACGAUACACACAAAUCGAGCAUAAUUGGGUCAUGUUAAUGACUAGCCAAAUAAAAUUGAAAAGAAAAAAGAAAAGAAGAAAGCCAGACAUGCAAUUAUUAGCAUAAGCUAUUGUGUAUGGAUUCAAUGGUCGAGGAAUAAUAGUAA